UAAAGUUUCCCACGCGGAUCAUUUAUGUUCCCGAAAAUUUGGCAAAAAAAAAAAAAAAUAGAAAGAAAAAGAAAAAAGAUAUAAUAUCAAUUAUUUGUUUUCAUCUUGCCCGAAAAGGAACACCCUUAGAUUUAAUUCUACUCUCGGAAUAUAAUAUAUUAUAUGGACAUAAACCGUUUUGUCUUCGGUAUUCCUAAGUCACGAUAGCUUAACGAGUUGCACCGUGGAAGGAUCCUAUCGGCAGAGGAAGACACAAUGAUGAAGUACACUCAAUGAAUCACAAUAGACUUUGAUCAUAUGAACAAGGAUAAAGUU